rnacentral:rRNA from 1 species
UACAGAGGGUGCAAGCGUUGUUCGGAAUUACUGGGCGUAAAGGGCUCGUAGGCGGCCAACUAAGUCAGACGUGAAAUCCCUCGGCUUAACCGGGGAACUGCGUCUGAUACUGGAUGGCUUGAGUUUGGGAGAGGGAUGCGGAAUUCCAGGCGUAGCGGUGAAAUGCGUAGAUAUCUGGAGGAACACCGGUGGCGAAGGCGGCAUCCUGGACCAACACUGACGCUGAGGAGCGAAAGCCAGGGGAGCAAACGGG